GGCAUUGUGGCGGAGUGGUUAACGCGAUAGCCUAGAAUAUCUUCGGAUCUUCCCAGCUAUUUCCUUCGGGAGCACAGGUUCGAGUCCUGUCAAUGUCG